GUUUCAAAUAAAGUUUGGAAAAGGAAGAAUUGGAGACAACUAAAGUAUGGCAGCAUGUGACCCCUGGGUCUUCCCCCAAAGUCAAAAUGACUUGGAUAGGUGAAUGUUUCAAGACCUUGAGGCAGUCAUGAUGGUGCAGCUAAAGACACUCAUGAAAUAAGACCUCCAGAACUACUUUGCAAUGCAGCAACC
rnacentral:lncRNA from 1 species